rnacentral:rRNA from 1 species
AUUUCCCAACUUCGGUUAUAAGAUCCCUCAAAGAUGAUGAGGUUAAUAGGUUCGAGGUGGAAGCAUGGUGACAUGUGGAGCUGACGAAUACUAAUCGAUCGAAGACUUAAUCAAAUU